AACGAACGCUGGCGGCAUGCCUAACACAUGCAAGUCGAACGAGACCUUCGGGUCUAGUGGCGCACGGGUGCGUAACGCGUGGGAAUCUGCCCUUGGGUUCGGAAUAACAGUUGGAAACGACUGCUAGUACCGGAUGAUGACGUAAGUCCAAAGAUUUAUCGCCCAAGGAUGAGCCCGCGUAGGAUUAGCUAGUUGGUGAGGUAAAGGCUCACCAAGGCGACGAUCCUUAGCUGGUCUGAGAGGAUGAUCAGCCACACUGGGACUGAGACACGGCCCAGACUCCUACGGGAGGCAGCAGUGGGGAAUAUUGGACAAUGGGCGAAAGCCUGAUCCAGCAAUGCCGCGUGAGUGAUGAAGGCCUUAGGGCUGUAAAGCUCUUUUACCCGGGAUGAUAAUGACAGUACCGGGAGAAUAAGCUCCGGCUAACUCCGUG
rnacentral:rRNA from 1 species